UAUUAUGGAUGAGCAAAAGAAAGUGGUUUCUUGAUAUGGAAACUACUCCUAGUGAAGAUGCUGUGAA
rnacentral:pre_miRNA from 1 species